UGGGGGGAACCCUGACGCAGCAACGCCGCGUGGGUGAUGAAGGUCUUCGGAUUGUAAAGCCCUGUUUUCUGGGACGAUAAUGACGGUACUAGAGGAGGAAGCCACGGCUAACUACGUGCCAGCAGCCGCGGUAAUACGUAGGUGGCGAGCGUUGUCCGGAUUUACUGGGCGUAAAGGGUGCGUAGGCGGAUGUUUAAGUGGGAUGUGAAAUCCCCGGGCUUAACCUGGGGGCUGCAUUCCAAACUGGAUAUCUAGAGUGCAGGAGAGGAAAGCGGAAUUCCUAGUGUAGCGGUGAAAUGCGUAGAGAUUAGGAAGAACACCAGUGGCGAAGGCGGCUUUCUGGACUGUAACUGACGCUGAGGCACGAAAGCGUGGGUAGCAAACAGGAUUAGAUACCCUGGUAGUCCACGCCGUAAACGAUGGAUACUAGGUGUAGGGGGUAUCAACUCCCCCUGUGCCGCAGUUAACACAAUAAGUAUCCCGCCUGGGGAGUACGGUCGCAAGAUUAAAACUCAAAGGAAUUGACGGGGGCCCGCACAAGCAGCGGAGCAUGUGGUUUAAUUCGAAGCAACGCGAAGAACCUUACCUGGACUUGACAUCCCUUGCAUAGCCUAGAGAUAGGUGAAGCCCUUCGGGGCAAGGAGACAGGUGGUGCAUG
rnacentral:rRNA from 1 species